rnacentral:rRNA from 1 species
CCCUUAGAUGUUCUGGGCCGCACGCGCGCUACACUGAUUCAUGCAACAAGUUUUGUCCUUGGCUGAUAGGCCUGGGUAAUCUUUGAACGUGAAUCGUGAUGGGGAUAGAUGAUUGCAAUUAUUCAUCUUCAACGAGGAAUUCCUAGUAAACGCAAGUCAUCAGCUUGCAUUGAUUACGUCCCUGCCCUUUGUACACACCGCCCGUCGCACCUACCGAUUGAAUGGUCCGGUGAAAACCUCGGAUUCUUGUUUGAUUCUAGCAAUAGAGACUUACGGGAAGAAGUCGUUUAAACCUUACCAUUUAGAGGAAGGUGAAGUCGUAACA